CUGUAAGAAGGACCCAUUGGGUGCUCUGAUCCUCAUCUUAUUUUUGUCAGCGUCAUUGCGCACCAGCUGGAACGUCUCGGACUGCCCCGGCAUGGAGGCUGUGGCCACCACAUUAACGCCGGCCACGGUCACGAAUUGGUUCUUGAACACCUUAAAGUUGAAGGUGUUCUCGUCGAUACGCCAGAGCUUGAAGGUCUCCCAGUGGGAGGCCGAGAGCCGGUUGGCGACAAGUGCCCCGCCGCCCCCAUUCUCGGCAGCCACAAACCCCUUAUGUGCCAUGGACUGGAACUGCACACUCGUGCCAUCCUGAUUCAUCGAUCCAAACCGGAAGAAAUUAAGCAAGAUGGGAUAAACAUGACAUUACAACUAGACGAAGGAAACAAGUAGGUGAAUUACUUACGAGGAGGUCUUUGUUGGGGAUGCCAUCGAAGAGGGAGGGCAGCCCCUUGACGAUGGUCACUGCAAACACGGAGGGGUCAUCGUCGCCCCAUGUCGUGCUCUCGCCGAAGUUGGCCGUCAAUGAACCAUCCUUGUUUGCCUGUGCUGCCAGCAAUGGAACAGAUUGAUGACUCAUACUAGUUUGGUUAUGUCUAGCCGAUCUCUCAAAAUUUAGCCACCUUAUAUGCGUCCUUAUACUUUAGAGGAGUAUAUUUGCUCCUCUAAAAAAAUGUGGUUUUCAACCGGUCCCGUAUAUUUUGCGGAUCAAACAAUUUAUUCGACUUACGCAUUUCAACAAGCACUUCUAUGACAUGUGAGUGGCAAUUUAAUUGCAUCUGCACAAUGUUCUGAGACAAGACGAGGCCUAAUUGAAAUAGGGAUCUCGUCAAUCUUUUAAAUAGUGGAUUCCUUUAGCCACAACACGUUCAAAAUGGGGCUAAAUCGGAGCUAAAUGAGGCUAUAGCGAAAAAUUGUACAUACAUGAAUUCCUUUAGCGACAACACAUUCAAAAAGUUAUAGCGGGCUAUUUAAAACUAUGAAUCUAGUGCGCUAUGUGCGGCCGGGGGAGGGGGGCCAGGAGAUCCUGCCGAGCUCGGCGACUGCAUGCUGCCGGAGUUGCCUCCGGGAGCAUCCUGAGGUAAGGUCGAUCGUUGUGCUGCUCGACCUCAUAGUACGCGGUGGAAGCCGGCGUUCAUGGUUGUGCACAAGCCUGACCGCCCGAUCGAGGACCUCCUCCUCCACUACUAUAGCAGUACACCAUGAACCCAGAUAUCGUGGUGCUCCUACAAGAAUCCUGUUGCUGCUCAUGGCGCCCUUACUAUGGACGGGACGCCAUCGGCUAACGAGGCCCUACAUAGCGGGCGAAGCACCAAGAAGGGGUAGUAGCGAGAGUAGUAGUCGAGCAGGGCACCAACAAGGUCGCCGACUUGCCAGGUCGACAUGACGGGAGUGGCUGAGUAUAUUUAUUAACAAACCUAAACGUUUUGAGGAAUCGGCUAGGUGGAGUUUAAAUUAGUAAAACGAAAUUUUUACUCCACUAAACGAUCGAUUAUAAGUGAUCAUCUAGAGAUGGCCUUACAUCGUGAAAAGAUAAGUAACUUUGUACUAUGCAACUUGUGGUUGGAAUAGUCUUUCAUAGCCAAUGAAUAAAAGAUAGGUACUCACUUAGCUUGCUAGCUACUGCAUGCAUGGCCCAUGGAUCCCUCGUGCCAUUAUUAGUACGUCCUCAGAAUGAGGACAACUACUACUACUGAGUGGAGAAUAAAGUUAAGUUACCUGCACGAAGGACCCAUUAGGUGCUUUGAUCCUCAUCAUAUUCUUGUUUGGCACCAGCUUAAACGUCUCCGAUGGACCCGGCGUGGAGGCCGUGGCCACCACAUUAACGCCGACGACGGUCACAGACUGGUUGUUGAACACUUUGAGGUUGAAGGUGUUCUGGUCGAUCCGCCACAGCUUGAAGGUCUCCCAACCGGAGGCUGAGGCCCGGUUGGCGACCAGUGCCGCCCCGCCACCGUUCUCGGCAGCCACGAACGCGUUCUGUGUCGCGGACCUGAGUUGUAGCUGCGUGCCAUCCUGCCUCAUCGAUCCAGACCGACAUAAAUCAAGCAAGAGUUGAUGAUCCUAACAUGACAACCAGACGAAGGAAACAUCUUUGUGAAUUCUUUUCUUACCAGGAGGUCUUUGUUGGGGAUGUCGUCAAAGGGGGAGGGUAGAUCCUUGACGAUGGUCAUCACGAACACGGAGGGGUCGUCGUCACCCCAGGUCGUCGUCCUCUCGCGAAAGUCGGCCGUCAUCGAACCAUCUUUGUUUGCCUGUCGUGCCAGCAAUGAAGAUGUGUAACAUUGAUGACUCUUAGUUACUAGGUUUUUCUCAUGGAAGAUAACCUUCAAUGCAACUUGCGGUUGUAAUAGUCAUAGUCAUUGAAAGAGUAGGAAACUUUGCCACAGUUCCGUCGUGCAAUGAAUGAAGAGGUCAACUAGUACUACUGAGUGUGGAGUAUUAAGUAUCCUCAAAAAAAGAGUGUGGAGUAUCAAGUUAAAUUACCUGCAAGAGGGACCCAUUGGGUGCUCUGAUCCUUAUCCUAUUCUUGUCAAAGUUGUGGCGCACCAGCUGGAACGUUUCCGACUGACCGGGCGUGGAGGCCGUGGCCACGACAUUAACGCCAAUGACGGUCACGAACUGGUUGUUAAACACCUUGAGGUUGAAGUUGUUCUCGUUGAUCGGAUGGAGCUUAAAGGUCUCCCAGCCUGAGGCCGAGGGGCGGUUGGCAAACAGCGCCGCCCCGCCGCCAUCCUCGGCGGCUACAAAACCGUUUUGCGUCACGGACUUCAAUUGCAGCUGCAUGUCAUCCUGCUCCAUCGAUCGACCCACAGAAAUUAGGCAAGAGGAAAUUUUGGCAUUGCACGCAAGACGCAACAGACAAGGAAAACAAGUAGGGUAAAUCGUUACCACGAGGUCGUUGUUUGGGAUGCCGCCGAAGAGGGACCGCAGAAUCCAGCCAUCGGUGAUGAUGGACACCACAAACACGGAGGAGUCGUCAUCGCCCCAUGUAGUGCUCUCGCCGAAGUCCGCCGUCACCGUACCAUCUUUGUUUGCCUGCCGUGUCAGCAAUGGAAGAUAUGUAAUUUUGAUGAAUCUUAGUAGGGUGUUUCUUUCAUGAAAGAUAACCUUCUAUGCAACUUGUGGUUGUAAUUGUCAUUGUUAAUGAGGGAGUAGGUAACUUUGCCAUUGAUACCUCGUGCCAUCAAUGAAGAGGUCAACUACUAGUAUUAAGUGGAGUAUUAAGUUAAGUUACCUGCAAGAACGACCCAUUGGGUGCUCUAAUCCUCAUUCUAUCCUUGUCAGCGUCGUUGCGCACCAGCUCGAAUGUCUCCGACUGCCCCGGUGUGGAGGCUGUGGCCCCCACAUUAACGCCGGCAACGGUCACGAACUGGUUGCUGAACACCUUGAAGUUGAACGUGUUCUUGUCGAUCCUCCAGAGUUUGAAGGUCUCCCAGCUGGAGGCCGACGCCCGGUUGGCGACAAGUGUCGCCCCACCGCCAUUCUCGGCGGCCACGAACGCGUUCUGUGUCACGGACCUGAACUGCAGUUGUGUGCCAUCCUGCUCCAUUGAUCGAGACCAACAUAAAUUAAGCAAGAGUUGAUGAACAUGACAUGACAACCAGAUGAAGGAAACAUCUUGGUGAAUUAUUUUCUUACCAGGAGGUCUUUGUUGGGGAUGUUGUCGAAGCGGGAGGGCAGGUCCUUGACGAUGGUCACCACAAACACAGUGGGGUCGUCGUCGCCCCAUGUCGUCGCCUUCUCGCGGAAGUCGGCCGUCACCGAACCAUCUUUGUUUGCCUGUCGUGCCAGCAAUUAAUGAAGAUGUGUAACAUUGAUGACUCUUGGAAGGUUUUUUUUCAUGAAAGAUAACCUUCAAUGCAACUCAUGGUUGUAACAGUCAUUGUCAAUGAAAGAGUAGGCAACUUUGCCACUUAUCCAUGGUGCAAUUAAUGAAUGGAGAGGUCAACUACUCCCUUCGUCAUGGUUUAGAAGGCAUACACGUGUACACGUGUAUUUAGGUCAUCAGUUUGACUUAUAUAAAUUAUAUUAUUUAACGUAAAAAUUAUAUUAUUAUAAAUCUAAUGAUAUAAUUUUUACGUUAAUUAAUAUAUUUUAUAUAAAUGAAAUUAACGACUUAGAUACACGUGCAUUCCUUCUAAACUGUGACAGAGGGAGUAGUACUACUGGGUGGAGUAUUAAGUUAAUUUACCUGUAAGAGGGACCCAUUGGGUGCUCUGAUCCUCAUUCUAUUCGGGUCAGCAUCGUUGCGCACCAGCUGGAACGACUGAACUGGUGUGGUGGCGGUGGCCACGACAUUAACGCCGGCGACGGUGACGAACUGGUUGCUAAACACCUUGAAGUUGAAGGUGUUCUGGUUGAUCCGAUAGAGCUUGAAGGUCUCCCAUCCUGAGGCCAAGGGACGGUUGGCGAUCAGCGCCGCCCCGCCGCCAUUCUCGGCAGCCAGGAACGCGUUCUGCGUCACGGACUUGAACUGCAGCUGUGUGCCAUCC
rnacentral:lncRNA from 1 species